CACCUCAAGUUGGUUUUCCAACCGCCUUUAAAACAAAAAGAAGAAGAAGGACGAAGAGGCAGAAGAAAAAUAAAAAAGUUAGCGUUAAUGCUAAACACAAACAAACAAACAAACUGGUCAUCGUACAGCUUGUCGCCGCUCUGUGAUGGGCUGAGACGAGCUGUCACGCCCCUAGGCGUCUGAUACUGACGCAAAAGGGACCCUUCCACGUCUGUAUGAAACGCUCUGGAUUCUCAAUUGACUCCAAUGUAAACCCAUCCGCGGCGGUCAGAGACGCUCAGAGCAGACGCUCCAGCCGUCCAUUCACUCCAAUAAUAACCCGAUCACGGCGAUAGAUGACGCUGUGAGCCUCAGUCUGAUUGGAGAAUCAUCAGUGUCGUCGGUGGUCGAGGAUUAUGGCAAAGUCCCGUCAAGGCGAUUUGGAAUUGAGAAAUCUCCACAAAUUAACCUCAACAUGUCCAAGAAAAGAAGAAUUGAUGCAUAAGGAAGGCAGUUUCACGAACCACGGGAGAACGAAUACAUGUUUGUACUUCAAGAAAAUGUUCACACGCUCCUCCAGACACUAUCGGGGCAUCAUGACCUCCUUUUAUUCCAUCUGCAUCGUCUUGGGUACCGUGUGUGUGAACCCCCUCUCUGCAGAAUCUGAGCUCCCUGUAUCUGGACAUGUGGGGUCUACAGCUGUCCUGCCGUGUGAACUGCAGACUGAAGACACUGAAAAACCGCAUAUUAUCUGGGAGAUCGAAUCUGAGAUUGUGUUUGAGCGAGACGGUGAGGAGACCUAUCAGGGUGAGGGAUAUGAGGGGCGUGUGGACGUUCCUGAGGAAGAGCUGCGUAAGGGGAACUGUUCCUUGGUGUUGUGCAAUCUGACAACUACUGAUGAAGCUCUGUACAGGAGCGCCAAGACAGUGAGUCGCACCAAGAGAUCUGUCGAGACAGAAACAGUAGAGAUCGGCCAUGUUUAUCUCUCAGUCGAUGAAAAACAGAAAGAAGAGCGUGAAGCUGAAAAGGAAGUUCCCAGAGAAAAACAGAAUGAAGAGCGUGAAGCUGAAAAGGAAGUUCCCAGAGCCGGGUUUUGGUCAGGAGUAGGAGUAGGAGUAACUGGGACUAUUGCAGUGAUUGCAGUGAUUGGAGUGAUUGGUGCUGUGGUGUACUGGUGUAAAAGAAGAAGAAAGCAAAACCGCAGAAACCCUGAUCCUCCACACACCUACUCGCUGCCUAAUACACAAAUAAAUCCUGCAAAGACAAGUCAAGAUGAAAAUCCUAAUGAUCAAGGAGAAGAUCUGCUGAACACAUGACAGGACGAUCGUGGUUCUGUGGUUUUGGAGGAGGGUGCUGUCCGAUACAAUCCAGUCAGGACAGAUGCUGAGUAAUGCAACGUCCAGCACAACAGUUGGUAAUAACACUAACCCUAGGUUUCCUCUCACCUCCCAAACACAUGCCAGUAGGGGGACUGGCUGAGCUACAUUGACCCUACGUGUGAAUAAGUGUGAACGCUGGCGUGUUCAUCUGCUGCAACUCUAAAGUGUUAUUGGUUGAUAUUUUUUUGUCUUUCUGGAUUAUACUGUUCGACGUUGUGAAUUUGCACCCUGCAUUACAUAGUUUAUGUUUCAUAUGGACUUUUAAUUUUCAUAUGGACAUGUUUUUUUUUUUUUGUAAUCUUUUUUCCUGGCAUGUCAACUACAGUUAUGCGCUGUUCUUCACAAUAUCUUUUCUACAAUGUUUUAUCGGUACUCUUCUGCAGAGGUCAUAUGUUAAUAGCAUGUACAGCAGGGGGCUCAGGACACAUCCCUGAGGGGACUUUAACAGUCUGUGUCCUGCUUGUUCAAAAGUCCAGGACCCAGUUUCAAAGUGAGUUGGCUUGAUGUUGGACGGUCGAUAUUCACAGAUUAAGGGACCGUCUCUAAAGUUACAUACGACAUGGGUAUACACGUUUCUAACUUCCAUAGCAUUUGAAAGGAAUGACUUACAGUCACAAAACCAACUGUAAAGUAUUCAUGAAGGUGUCAGGUCUGAUGCACACUAUUUUUUUUUUUUUUUUUUAGAUUUUUGAUAUUUAACAUUUCAAUGCAUGAACCAAAAAAAAAACCUACACGAAUGCAUAAAGGGGGUCAAAAUGACCCAUAUUGGAUUGAAUGGCUUUCUUAAAAAAAAAAAAAAAAAAAAAAUUGUCCUAUUAAUGAAAUAAUUAAAAGAACUGAUGAUACACGAAUGUUUUAAUAUUUCAAACAUGUUUAUUUGUUUUCUUUUAAUUUAUUUAUGUUUAGAUAUUUAGAUUGUGGAUGGGAGCCAAAGAAAUGGAAAAUCAUUUACAGAUUUUCCAGUCAACCUCUUGACCGCAUCGCGGUGUAAAGAUUUGUGAAAAUUUGAACUCGGAAGGUCGUGAGUUCAAAUCCCAGCCCUGCCAAGCUGCCACUGCUGGGCCUUAACCCUUAAAUGCCCAGUUGUCUAAAUUUAGAGAAAUGUAAGUCGCUCUGGAUAAGGGCAUCUGCCAAAUGCCAUAAAUAAUAAUUAAAAAAAUAAAUACUUUAUCCAUCACUUGGUAGUAUAAAUGGAAAUACAGGAAGUGUAUUCAGAAAUUUGGCAGGCAGAUAUUCACAGCUGGAGUGGAGCUCUGCCAUGUUUACUUUGCUGUCUCUUUUUGUUAUGAAGGGAAUUACCAGCAGAGGGCGCUACUGGCUUCUUAAAUAUCUGUUACACAAAGAACUCUUUGAGCAUGUAAAGACAUGAUGGCAGCCAUUUUAGAAGAGAUUCUCACCGCCAUUUAAUGGUUUCAACAAGGUGAUGUUAAAAGUAUUGAGUAAACCGAUCACUGUCUCGCUGUUCUGUGGGCAAUUUGUAUACACCUGUAUAAGGUAGUAUGGUAUUGUAUAGAAUGGUAUAGUGUGGUAUUGUAGUAUGGUAUGCGCCUUGUAUAAUCAGAGUAAAUGCAUUGACUGCACAGUGUGAAGAGAUUUUCAGUUAUAUUCUUUGAUUAUGUGCGUGCAUCAAAGUGUAAAUCGAUAUUUAAUUUAUAUAUGAGGAUUACACUGUUGUUAUUUGUAAGUUAUUAAGUCAACUGAUUCUGUAUUCAGACCACUUUGUUGUCAAUUGAAUCUUUAUUUAAAAAAAAAAAAAGAUAUAUAUUUUUGAUGUAAUAUUACUGUUGCAUAUGGUGUGGAUAAUGAUGUUAGUUUGUGUAACUUGACAGUUGUUUGUCAGUGUAUCGGAGGUCUGAUUCAGACUUAUUAUUGGAACUUCUCUAAUUAUUUGCACUUUAUCUGUUAAGGUGUAAAAUUCUAUCUGUUAUAAUUUCAGGAAAGUCAUAUUAGUGCUUAAUGUUCUUUAUAGAAUUAGAGCUGUGAUUUCAAUAGUGUUGUUUUUCUUUCUAAAGUAACCACACCUUGAUCUACAUGUUGAGAUGAAUUCUGAAAUAAAGAACUAAAAUGGGAA